CCCCUCCAAGUUCUCUUCUUUACAUCUAGUGUUUAGUACACUGUGUUCUCAACAGUGUUAAAAGCUCACUGUCAUUCACAAGUGCUGUUCUUUCUUUAAUACUGGAACAGAAGCUGAGAUCUUAAAAAAUUGACCAUGAUGUUUUUUUCUCAGAUGAUACAGGCUUAAUUGUGGUGUGUUGUAAAAUUGAAUUGAAAACCCUUGAGAGCUGCUAUGAGCAGAUUUUAGACAUUGGUCCCAAAGAAGGCUAUAUUUUUAUUUCUGUGUGCAUUUACAUCCAUUGUCUACUCUCUGUGAUAUCUAAUGUUACAUAAUUUGAUAUACUAAAUUAAAACAUCGUCUGGUCAGCGCUCAUUAUGACUCUUCAUUAAGCUAUAUUCUGGAUUGAAGUAAUUCAGCACCUUUGUAAUAGCAUGAAAGUCCACCUCAGCAAGCCUAAAUCAUUGUCUCACCUGUAAAACUGACAUUGGGAAAGGUUUAGCACAUACUUACUAUAUCUUUCUAGGACAAGGUUCUUUAAUCAGAGUUACUGUGUGAGACCUUUGUUCAUUCUUAGGAAAAGGCAUCACAGACCUCUCACAAAGUGAAAUCUAAAUCCUAUGAGUACUUACACAUUAUGUUGAAUGUGGAAAGUAGGGAAAACCAGCCCUGAGAAAAUUCUUUGGUGUUGGGAAUAAGAAGAUGAACCUUGGCACCAUGGAGUUGCAUCCUCCUUCAGUAUCCCCUUGGUAAAAGUUCGCAUCAAUUCAUUUUAAGGAAAAACUUGAAAUAUUUUUAUCCCUCUUCUACACAGAAUGUGGGAUACCCAAUUUUUUAUAAUUGCCUGAGAGGUCUGAAACUCUCAAGUCCAAGGCAAGAAGCAGUAAACUAUUCACUGGAAAUGCUUUAGGUGUGUUGUUACUCCAAGGACUGCAUAUUAGCUAAUGACUGAAUGACACAAGGCCAGAAACAGACUUUGAAAGGAUAGAAAAUGGGGCAUGCUUUUUCCCAUGACAGCUACCUAAUCACUGAUAAUAGUCAUGCUGCUAUUCUUUUAUUCUUACAUGCUCUUCCUCACUGACAUUUAAAAGAUUUUAUUUCUUUUAGGGUGAAAAGACAUCCAGGUGCAUCUUUGAGGUCUCCGAUCAGAAGAUAUUGAAGAAAAAUUGUGGGAAAGGAGUUAUUUUGUGUGAAAACAGGCACAAAAGAGUGACUUCAGAUCUGGAAGAAAUUAUUUCAGCUGCAUUCUGAACUUGGCCUCGUAUCUUUUGUUUGGAAAAUGUCUUCACGUAAGAAUGGAUUUAAUAGCAAUGAGAAAGGCUCCAGGCAGAAAGAAAAUAGUUGCUUCUACAUUAAUGAAUAGACAAAAUUACAGUUAAUAACUAAAACCAUGGAGCUCUCAAAUUAAUAAAAAUCAUCACCUUACAGGUUUCUAAGGUUUGGUCUCACUCAAAAAACCAGUUGUACUUCUGCUGUGAUUUUUUAAAAAAAUUACAAUUUUAUAUAUAUAACUCCUGCUGAAAUGGGUUAUUUGUCUAUAACUACUUCACAGUUUGCAUAAAAAAGACAGAACAUGAUUAUCAAGAACUUUUUCAAAGCUGUUAACAAAUUAUGCUGUCAUUUAGAGAAGUGCACACAAAAGAGAAAUGUAAAAAAAAUUGAUGAUUUUAUAUUGAAUGAGAUUGUUACUCUGUUGCACAAAACUUAAUUAAAAUAAUCUUAAUGGUU